rnacentral:lncRNA from 1 species
CCACAUGUUAAUGAACACUCUAGUCUUCGCCGGAAUCUCAUAGCCAUUGAUGCUGCAGUCUUCAGUUGAUUCUCUUAUUGAUAUUGGGUUAGCUGGGUGAAACCGAAGUGUUUCUUUAACUAGAGCCUGGAGAUAAGGAAGGUUUAUGAUAUCUGAUUCUUCUACUAGUCUGCUCUUUCCUACAACAGAAUCAAUCUCUUCUCUUGCCUUUUUCAUCAUGUCAGGGUGAUUGAUUAGCUCUGCUAGCGCCCAUUCUACAGUGAUGGCUGAUGUAUCGGUACCAGCAACGAAAAUGUCCUGCAUAUCACAAGCAAAGAAUGAUGGUUCACCUAAAUGUUUUUCAAGUAGUUUUAUUCAUAGGUGGGAAAUUUUCCUUACCAGGAUGAAGGCCUUGAUGUUGUCUCUAGUCAACUUGAUUUCUGAGCUCUCAUCUUCUGAUAUAUCUAGUAGCAUGUCAAGUAAAUUCAUAGGUGCAUAAUCCUUGCCUGUUUCUUUAUUUAUCUUUCUUGCUUCUUGGUGCUCCUUUAUAAUUCUCUCCAUCAUAUUAUCAAACUUGCGACGAACUUCCUUGAAUCUUUUCCCAAAUCCCUGCAAAUCUAUGUUCUUACAGAACCAAAUAUAAUCUUGCAAAUUAAAUUUUCCGACGAGUUCAGCUGUUUCUUGCACCAACUUCCUCACCUCAUCAGCUUCUUUGUCAUUGUUGGAACAUAUUUGGCCCAUAGUCAUUCUUGACACUACGUUAUUUACUAGCCGAAUAAGCUCUUUUCCAACAUCAACUGCCUCACUUGCUUUCGCUUUCUUCAGCAUGAACUGCAUAAACCGCCUUAUUUCUUCAGACCUAAUGGGGAUAAAUUGGUUCAGCGUUUGGCCACCAAGAAGUUGAGUCAUGCAUAAUUUCUUCAUGAACUUCCAGUAAGGUCCAUAAGGAGCAAAUGCGAAAUCAGCUGAGCCAUAUGUAAGGCAGUCAACCGCAACCAAAAUGGGGCGGUCGCAGAAAGAAGUUUCAUGGGUUUUGAGGAUCUCCUUUGCUGUUUCAGGGGAGCAAGCAACAACACAUGGGACUGAGCCAAGGAACAAAUGAAUUAAGGGUCCAUAGCGGAUGGAAAGUUUGUGAAGUGCUUGGUGAGGUAUUGGGGCAAGGAGGUGGAGGUGUCCGAUGAUCGGUAAUGCCAUUGGGCUUGGUGGAAGACUAUAUGUGGUCUUAAUUCUUCGGAAGAUUGAUCGGACCAAGAUCGUGGAGACUAGCAAUAUGAGGAGAAGAAAAAUGCAGCCACUGAAAUCAACCAUGUUUUGCUCUUAGUGAGAAUAACUGAGAUUUUGCUGUUGGUCUUAAUAAUGCUGUUAUAUAUAAGUUGGUACUAAGUGGAGAUAUAGCAUGACAGAAAGUCUUCGCCGGCUUUGCCUUGCAGUUCAGCUAUUGUUCCAAACGUUAAAUUGUAAUUUGUGUGAAAGCAACGUCUUAAUAUUCCAAAUUAAUUAUUGAUGCUUUAGCUUUCUUGUUUGGACAAAAUAUUCUUGAAAAGUCAAAUUCAGUGAUUUUUUUCUCAAAUUGGUUGAAAAAAUGGAGGUGAUUCAUAUGCAUUUUCUUUUGUUUUUCAAAACGGUACAUAUCAAUUUUGACAAAUUUGGCCAAUUUGUCAAGUUGACAGUAAUGGGCACCAUUGACAAAUUGAUGGGCGCCAUUGACAAAUUGGUUGAGGGGCCCCUGUAAAUUGAAGCUACUCCAGUCAUUCGAAACCAUCCCAAAAUGGAGAAAAACAAUACGAGUGAAUGAUUGCCGAGAGAGUGAGCAAUUGAAGAGUGUGUGUAUUUGAGAGUUUUCUCCUUUUAAAUGUGUGUGAGAGUAGAAAAAUGAUAUUUUAUAACAAAAAAUUUAGUGACUAAAGAUAACAAAUUAGUCACCUUAUAUUUUUUAUGACAAAAAAUAAAUAGUCAUGUAUUAGUCGCGGAAAGACCGUCUUAAAAGGUUCUAGCGACCAAAAUUAUUUUCAUUAAAAAUAUGUUUUUGCGACAAAAAUGAUUGCCGUAAAAUUAAGUUAAAAAUGUCGCAAAUGGUAUUCAAAAUAGUCGAAUUAGAGAUUAAAAAAUGCACUCAAUGACACUUCACAUUUGUCAAUGUAGAUGAUUUAUAGUGACUAUAAUAUUUGUCUCAAGAGUAUGUAAAUAUAGUCACAAUAAUUAUUAAAAAUCAUCAUUAGAUGUUUGACGAUGCAAUUAGCAACGCUAUUUUUCUUCAUUCAAGUUUGUAUAUCGCGACAUUAUAUAAUCAUCUCAAGUAGUUGUCAUUUGCAAUAAUUUUUUAGAUACAAUUAGUAAUUAAUUUAGUCUCAAAUUUAUUUUAAGGAUAAUUUAUUUUAUUACUUCAUGACCAAUUACGUAGUAUCAAAAAAUUUUAAAUGACCAUUAUCUCUUAUCAUUAAAAGUAAGCAUUUGUUAUUUGACAACUAUUUAUAUCAUAACAAAUAAUUAAAGUGACUACUCCCAAUUAUCAUUAAAAAAAAACAAAGUCUACAACAUUGUAUCAUAUAAAUUGAAAUCUAGUGAUCAAAAGAUCUAGUUACAGAAUAUAUAUAUAUAUGACCAUUUAAAUACAAAGCAUGACAUUGAAAUCUAAAUAAAUAUGGUUCCUUGUAAAGAAAUGUAAAUACAACAGUCAUAAAACAAAGUCUCUAUUGCUUCAAGUACCAUUUCGUUCAAAUGUUACACAUGAGACUUUGAUGAAUCACAAUGUCUAAAAGACACUUUACAAGCAUUUUGCUUCUUUCUUCCUUAUCAUUUCUGUAAUUGAUUUUGUUAGAAAAUGUUAUUAAGUAGUAAGUUACUUUAAAAAAAAAAAAAAAGAACAUCUAUGGUGUAAAGGAUAAGAAAAUGUAUCAACAGAAGUAAGAAGUACCUAACAAAAGUUAACCAUAAACUUCAAUACGCAGAAGUGCUCCAAUAAAGUAGCUGCAGUAAACAAAACUCAGUAACUACAGAGGCCUACAACAAUAUGCUACUAUAAAUCACAACCAGCAAUUGUAGUGAUCCAAAGCCAAUAUCGAAAGACCUAGAAAUAGUAAAAAAUAAUGCACGAAAUUAAGUGAAAAUAGUUCCCUAAAAAGAAAGCAAAACUCAGUAAAAAUAAAAAUAGAAAAAAACUAUGCAGGAAUACAGAAAAUAGUGCCCUAAAAAGAAAGCAAAACUCAGUAAAAAUAAAAAUAGAAAAAAAAAACUAUGCAGGAAUACAACAGUAUAUUAAUUCAUUAUUAUUAUGUCAAUAAGGUUUUUUAGUAGCUAUGUAACCUCCACUUGAUUUUGUAGGGACUGCGCAUAAUUGAUAAUUUCAUCCAACAUAAGGACCUUUCCAGUUACCUAAUCUGAUGCCAAGCCAUGGGAAGUUUGUAAGAAUUAUUAUAAACAUGAAAACUAAUUUUUUGUUUUAAGACAAGAAAAAGUUAACGAACAAACAGAAAAAUGGAACUCAAAUUACUUAAUUACCACAAUCAGGAACAAGUUUUUGCAAAAUCUUUGUCCUCUCGCUAACUUUCUCUCUUCUUACCUAAAACCAAAUAAUGACAAGACAACUACCCAUUAGACUUUGAUAAAAAUUGGAAAUUAAAAAAAUAUAUUAGGUAGUUAAGGAUAAAAUGAAAAAAAAAAUUAAAUUUGUAGCAAUGUACUCACCCAUUCUGCUAAGCUGAGGCUGUCAAUUGCCUGAUCCCUUCUCGAAGGAUUGAAAGAGUUGUAAUAGUAGCAAAAAAAAUUCAAAUAAUAGAAAUUGGGGUACUCACUAUAUAUAAAUGGACCUAAAGAAUAGAUUAGGUAAUAGCUUGUUUCUUUUGAAUGAUACAUGAGAUCCCACAAAUAAAAGAAAAAUAAAAAUCAAGUAAGCAAAUUGAAAAAUGCCUAACCAAUAGGGGUUAGUGAGAUAUUUUAGCUAAAUACAGAAUCUGAUCCACAAUAAAAUUGCUAUCUUAUUACAAUAAAAUCUGAAUUAUAAAAUUAUUGAAUAAAAAUUUUAAUGCCUACAAGUCCAAAUAACAUCAAAUAAAAUGCCCAACCAACUACUAAAUAUAAAAUGUCCUUGUGGGACUAGAGCCUUGUGGCCAACCAUUCAAAGUUCCAAGCAACAAUUCUAUACUUGUUGAUUGACAUUAAUACUUGUAUUAUAAAACUAUUUAUUGAACUCUAUAUAUAAUAAAACAUAAAAGGGAUUUACAAUAGUAAUAAUCUAAGUAUAUUUUCCAUGUGAUGCUAGUAAUACCAUAUAGAAUGAUAUAUGGGACCCUACAAAAAAAGGAAAAUAAAAAAUUAAAGUAUGUUAAUAAUGAUUUCAACUUUUGGACUCAAAUUCUAAGACAAUUUUUGCUACUAGAAAUACAAACAAACACUUGAGAAAAACUAAAGUAUAACGUUGAACAUAUAUAAAGCAUAAGAAUAAAAACAAACGGAAAAAAAAAGAGGCUAUAUGUGUCAUCAUCUUCAUUAGUUAAACAACAUAAAUUGAAUAAAAAUAUUAAUGAAUAUACCAAAACCUUCAAAUUCUCUAAACAUUCAAGUGUCUUCAGAUUACAAAGAAAAUGAAAUUUAUAAAAAAAAAUCAAGAAUGCGUAUUCGCCGCGGUAUUUUAUCAAACAAUUGGCGUGCAACAAUGUAAAUGACAAUUAAAAUUUGCAAAGCUCUGUACUUUGAAAUCUCACCUCCAUUAUUCAUCCAAAGAGAGAUAUAGAAGGCAUAUACGUUGCUUCUUUGAUAUUUAUCCCCAUAUUCAAUUAUUUUCAUGAUUUCUGUCCAAACCACAAAAGUGAAAAAAAAAAAAAAAAAGAGGUUCCAAACUCCUAUUCAAUUGAAUGAGAAAAUAGCGUACCAUAUAUUCCUAAAGACAUUGAAGAAUGAUCAAUUAGAUUUUAAGAAAAACAUUAUGCUUAAUAAAAGAGAUGAGUGGUUAUUUUGGUGGUGGAAGGAGAUAUCACCGACUUUGAGCAAAGUAAUUAGGGAUUUUUAAAUAUGGCCAAUGGGCCGGGCGGCACAUGGUCCGGCACGGCACGAGCACGUUUCGGGAGGACAGGCGGCAUGGCACGAUGCACACGUGGGCUGUGCCGGGCCUAGAAUUUUAGACACGCGGGCCUUAAAAGCACAAUACGAUUAGAGAUAGGCUAAAAUACGGCACACGAAAAUGCACGUAAUAAACACGCUUCAUUGGUGGGCUAGCAUGCGACCCGUGGGCCAUCAAUAGCACGUGAGCCAAAGUAUAUCAAAGUAAAAUUUUUUAAUGAAAAGUAAAUAUAAAAUGUUAUGAUUUUACAAAUAUCUUGAAAUUAAAUUUUUUAAUAUAUUUUUUAGCAUAGGCUUUUAAAAAUUAAUUUAAGUCCUAGUUUAAAUAAAUAGUCUAAUUUUUUAUGUUUAUAAUUUAUUAAAUGAAUAAAUAAAUAUCAUGAUUUUAAUAAAUAAAAUUAUUAUCAUAAUUUUAUGAAUGAUAAAUAAAAAAUUUUACGACAUUAAUAUUUCAUUUAUGAAAUCAUAACUUAGUUAAUAGUUAAUGGAGAUAUGUUUCAUUUGUGAAUGAAAUAUUUUUUAUAUUUAUACAGAAAAAAAUAAAAUUAUGAACAAAAUAUUUUUAUGAUAAAUUAAAAAUUACAUUUUUAUUCAACGGAGUUCGAGUGCAAUUAUAAUAUUAGUAGUUCAAAUAAAAUUAGAUGUAAUUGUUAUUCUACGAUUGUAAUUUUAUUUUUCAUUAAUCAUUACUAUGAUCUAUGAAAUUAUUAUUAUUGUUAGGCUGAUGGGAUUAAAUAAAGCACGUCGAGCACAUGAGCUUAAAUAAAGCACGCCAGACACGUGGGUUUUUUUAGGCACACUGGAUAUGUGAGCUUAAAAGGGCAAAAAAAAGUUGGUGGGCCUGUUUUGGGAACGAGACGGGCUCGUGUCAGGCCCUUAUUAAAAAGAGCCGAGCUAUUGGCACCCCUGCAUUAUUCUUACAAAACCCCCCUUUAAAUAAAAUUACAAUUAAAGACAACUGAAAAUUAAACACAUAUAAAUUUUUUUUUCCAGUAAAUUACUUAAUUCAUAAUCAAUCCUUUAAAAAAAAUUCUAUAUGUUACUUCCUAUCUAACGAAAAUAAAUUGUACAAAUUUAGGAUAAUUUAUUGUUUUCUUUUGAUUCCUUAUUGAUUAAAUAUUUUUAUACUUAAAAUUGCUUUGAAAUUAUAAUUUGAAAUUGGUAUUAUUUCAACCAAUGAUUAACACUAAAAAACUUAUCACCCAUAUAACUUUUUAAUUUGUGUGUAGGGUAAUAAUAAAAUUGAAAAUAAUGAAAAAGAUAGCACAAUAAUACUUUGAGUUUCAACAAUAGAACAAAUCAAAUGAAAAUUGAAAACUUAGAAAAGUGUAUCUAAAAAAGGGGCAUUUUCGGAAAUAAAAUGAAUAUAACUAAAAAUAGGAUCUUAUGAAGAGAUUAGAGAGGUGCCAAUAGUCCAACUCUAUUAAAAAAAAAAGUGGGCAUGUAUGUACCGGCCCACGGGCCCUAGUGGGCCAACGCUUGACGGGCCAUGCCGUGCGUCGGCAAUCAUUGGGGAUUUUUACUUUUAAAAAGAGGAGAACAUCAAGCCGUGAGUUUUUUUUUUUUUAGUUCAAAUUGUGAGUUAAUAAGAAUAACUGAGUGAGGAGAUAAAAUAAAUACCAUGUAGUAGUAAUUAGGCUGAGUAUUUUAUAUUUUAGAAACAAAUAAAGACUUGUCACACACAUAACAAGUUUUAUUUUCUUAUCGUUUGCGAUAAUUAGAUAUAAGCAAUUAAAAUUGGAGCAUGGUCAUCGAGUUUAUCAAACACUUUCUAAGUAAUGGUGCGCACUCUGCACAGAAUAUUUAGUUAAGAGUUGAGCUUUUACUCUUGUACAAAUGCUAAUAUCAAAGUUCAAUGACCUUCAUGAGCAACAAUUUCUCAAUAAUUCCACACAUUUUGACCUACCGAAGAGAAGAAAAUCUGACUUUACUAUAAACAGGAUCUACAUCUUAAAAGAAAACCAUUAAGUGUUACAAGAACAAGAAGUUUUUCAUUCGGAUGAAUAUGUGGCCACUAGAAUCAAAACUAGUCACUGUUUUCUCCUUGUUUUUGUGUUUUCUUACGAUGAAUCAGGAUAAUGGAAAUGGAUUAAUCCUAGUAAUAGGGACACAAAUCAGAGGAUGGACCCUCGGAAGAGUUAGGCCAGUUCCUUCUUCCAUGUCGACUCUAGUGCCAUUUCCUCCAAUAACCUCCCAAUCAAAGCACUGAAUCAUAGCAGCAAGGGUUGAAUGAACCAUGUGUAGUGCUAAUGUGGUUCCAGGGCAGGCUCUUCUUCCGCUGCCGAACGGAAUAUAAUGAUAAUGUUGUCCCCUGACAUCCAACUGGGUCUUCCCAUCUUCUGCAAUGAACCUUUCGGGGCAGAAUUCAAGUGGGGUUUCCCAGUGGUUCGGGUCCCUGUUUAUUGCCCACACGUUAAUGAACACUCUAGUCCUUGCCGGAAUCUCAUAGCCAUUGAUGGUGCAGUUUUCAGUUGAUUCUCUUACGGACAUUGGGCCAGUUGGGUGAAGCCGAAGUGUUUCUUUGACUAGAGCCUGGAGAUAGGGAAGGUUUAUGAUAUCUGAUUCUUCUACUAGUCUGCUCUUGCCUACAACAGAAUCAAUCUCUUCUCUUGCCUUUUUCAUCAUGUCAGGGUGAUUGAUUAGCUCUG